GCUGGAGGCGUAUGAGACCUUUGCUGUUGGUCUACCAACUAAAAAAUUCCGUCUAAGACCAUCAAGUCACACUGAGAUGCUUAGAGAUCAUAUCUAUAUGUGUCUGGACGAAAAAGUUGAAUCAAAAAAAGUGCCAAACUUGUAAUCAUGUCAAGUCCAAGAUCAAGUCAUUACAACUUUCACAUCACUUUUUCUAUUUUGUCUAUUGUUUAUCAGUCACUUUAUUUAUUCUCUCUAUACACUUGUACAUAUAUUAGUUUAAAACCAUAUCUUUUCAUUUCAUGUUUACAGUAAGUCUGUAGUAUUAAAUUGUUUUUAUUUAUAAGCCACCUCAAG
rnacentral:sRNA from 1 species